rnacentral:rRNA from 1 species
GAACGCUGGCGGCAGGCCUAACACAUGCAAGUCGAGCGGAUGAAGAGAGCUUGCUCUCUGAUUCAGCGGCGGACGGGUGAGUAAUGCCUAGGAAUCUGCCUGGUAGUGGGGGACAACGUCUCGAAAGGGACGCUAAUACCGCAUACGUCCUACGGGAGAAAGCAGGGGACCUUCGGGCCUUGCGCUAUCAGAUGAGCCUAGGUCGGAUUAGCUAGUUGGUGAGGUAAUGGCUCACCAAGGCGACGAUCCGUAACUGGUCUGAGAGGAUGAUCAGUCACACUGGAACUGAGACACGGUCCAGACUCCUACGGGAGGCAGCAGUGGGGAAUAUUGGACAAUGGGCGAAAGCCUGAUCCAGCCAUGCCGCGUGUGUGAAGAAGGUCUUCGGAUUGUAAAGCACUUUAAGUUGGGAGGAAGGGUUGUAGAUUAAUACUCUGCAAUUUUGACGUUACCGACAGAAUAAGCACCGGCUAACUCUGUG